rnacentral:rRNA from 2 species
UGGGGAAUAUUGCACAAUGGGCGCAAGCCUGAUGCAGCCAUGCCGCGUGUAUGAAGAAGGCCUUAGGGUUGUAAAGUACUUUCAGCGGGGAGGAAGGUGAUAAGGUUAAUACCCUUGUCAAUUGACGUUACCCGCAGAAGAAGCACCGGCUAACUCCGUGCCAGCAGCCGCGGUAAUACGGAGGGUGCAAGCGUUAAUCGGAAUUACUGGGCGUAAAGCGCACGCAGGCGGUCAAUUAAGUCAGAUGUGAAAGCCCCGAGCUUAACUUGGGAAUUGCAUCUGAAACUGGUUGGCUAGAGUCUUGUAGAGGGGGGUAGAAUUCCAUGUGUAGCGGUGAAAUGCGUAGAGAUGUGGAGGAAUACCGGUGGCGAAGGCGGCCCCCUGGACAAAGACUGACGCUCAGGUGCGAAAGCGUGGGGAGCAAACAGG